AACCAUUCUCACCUGCGGCUAGACCUGCGGAAGGAUCAUUACCGAGUUUACAACUCCCAAACCCCUGUGAACAUACCUAUACGUUGCCUCGGCGGAUCAGCCCGCGCCCCGUAAAAAGGGACGGCCCGCCCGAGGACCCCUAAACUCUGUUUUUAGUGGAACUUCUGAGUAAAACAAACAAAUAAAUCAAAACUUUCAGCAACGGAUCU
rnacentral:misc_RNA from 1 species